rnacentral:rRNA from 1 species
UACGGAGGGAGCUAGCGUUGUUCGGAAUUACUGGGCGUAAAGCGCACGUAGGCGCUAUUCAAGUCGGGUGUGAAAGCCCCGGGCUCAACCUGGGGAAUUGCAUUCGAGACUGAAUAGCUAGGGUACGGUAGAGGGAAGUGGAAUUUCCGGUGUAGCGGUGAAAUGCGUAGAUAUCGGAAGGAACAUCAGUGGCGAAAGCGACUUCCUGGACCAGUACCGACGUCAGGCACGAAAGCGUGGGGAGCAAACAGG